rnacentral:misc_RNA from 1 species
AGAGUUAAAUAGUACGUGAAAUUGUUGAAAGGGAAACGAUUGAAGUCAGUCGUACCGACGGAAAAUCAACUACUUGAGUGAGUACUUGUGGGCGUAUGUGAGCUUUACGGCCGCGUUGUUUGCAAUGUUCGUACUCUUGUGGUGUACUUUUUCGUAUGGUAGGUCAGCGUCGGUUUUGGGCGCCAUAAAAUAAUCGGAGGAAUGUAGCUUCGACCUCGGUUGAAGUGUUAUAGCCUUUGGUAGAUGUGGUGUCUGGGACCGAGGAUUGCAACGAAUACCCUUUGGGCUAUCCGUCUGACCUCUGAUGGUUGCUUGGGUGCCGAAAGUUUACUUACGGUCAUUCAAGUUGACUGUCAAUAGGCUAGAACGUGGUUACAUUCGUUAAGGACGUUGACGUAAUGGCUUUAAACGA